GAUGAACGCUGGCGGCGUGCCUAAUACAUGCAAGUCGAGCGAACGGACGAGAAGCUUGCUUCUCUGAUGUUAGCGGCGGACGGGUGAGUAACACGUGGUUAACCUACCUAUAAGACUGGGAUAACUUCGGGAAACCGUAGCUAAUACCGGAUAAUAUUUUGAACCGCAUGGUUCAAAAGUGAAAGACGGUCUUGCUGUCACUUAUAGAUGGAUCCGCGCUGCAUUAGCUAGUUGGUAAGGUAACGGCUUACCAAGGCAACGAUGCAUAGCCGACCUGAGAGGGUGAUCGGCCACACUGGAGCGGGGCCACGGUCCAGACUCCUACGGGAGGCAGCAGAAGGGAAUCUUCCGCAAUAGGCGAAAGCCUGACGGAGCAACGCCGCGUGAGUGAUGAAGGUCUUCGGAUCGUAAAACUCUGUUAUUAGGGAAGAACAUAUGUGUAAGUAACUGUGCACAUCUUGACGGUACCUAAUCAGAAAGCCACGGCUAACUACGUG
rnacentral:rRNA from 1 species